UUGAGUAACGCGUGAGGAACCUGCCUCAAAGAGGGGGACAACAGUUGGAAACGACUGCUAAUACCGCAUAAGCCCACAGCUCGGCAUCGAGCAGAGGGAAAAGGAGUGAUCCGCUUUGAGAUGGCCUCGCGUCCGAUUAGCUAGUUGGUGAGGUAACGGCCCACCAAGGCGACGAUCGGUAGCCGGACUGAGAGGUUGAACGGCCACAUUGGGACUGAGACACGGCCCAGACUCCUACGGGAGGCAGCAGUGGGGAAUAUUGCACAAUGGGGGAAACCCUGAUGCAGCGACGCCGCGUGGAGGAAGAAGGUCUUCGGAUUGUAAACUCCUGUUGUUGAGGAAGAUAAUGACGGUACUCAACAAGGAAGUGACGGCUAACUACGUGCCAGCAGCCGCGGUAAAACGUAGGUCACAAGCGUUGUCCGGAAUUACUGGGUGUAAAGGGAGCGCAGGCGGGAGAACAAGUUGGAAGUGAAAUCCAUGGGCUCAACCCAUGAACUGCUUUCAAAACUGUUUUUCUUGAGUAGUGCAGAGGUAGGCGGAAUUCCCGGUGUAGCGGUGGAAUGCGUAGAUAUCGGGAGGAACACCAGUGGCGAAGGCGGCCUACUGGGCACCAACUGACGCUGAGGCUCGAAAGUGUGGGUAGCAAACAGGAUUAGAUACCCUGGUAGUCCACACCGUAAACGAUGAUUACUAGGUGUUGGAGGAUUGACCCCUUCAGUGCCGCAGUUAACACAAUAAGUAAUCCACCUGGGGAGUACGACCGCAAGGUUGAAACUCAAAGGAAUUGACGGGGGCCCGCACAAGCAGUGGAGUAUGUGGUUUAAUUCGACGCAACGCGAAGAACCUUACCAAGUCUUGACAUCCUCGACGCACAUAGAAAUAUGUGUUUCCUUCGGGACGCAGAGACAGGUGGUGCAUGGUUGUCGUCAGCUCGUGUCGUGAGAUGUUGGGUUAAGUCCCGCAACGAGCGCAACCCUUAUGGUCAGUUACUACGCAAGAGGACUCUGGCCAGACUGCCGUUGACAAAACGGAGGAAGGUGGGGAUGACGUCAAAUCAUCAUGCCCUUUAUGACUUGGGCUACACACGUACUACAAUGGCGUUAAACAAAGAGAAGCAAGACCGCGAGGUGGAGCAAAACUCAGAAACAACGUCCCAGUUCGGACUGCAGGCUGCAACUCGCCUGCACGAAGUCGGAAUUGCUAGUAAUCGUGGAUCAGCAUGCCACGGUAAAUACGUUCCCGGGCCUUGUACACACCGCCCGUCACACCAUGAGAGCCGGGGGGACCCGAAGUCGGUAGUCUAACCGCAAGGAGGACGCCGCCGAAGGGAAAACUGGUG
rnacentral:rRNA from 1 species